AAAUUACUCACACAAAUUUACAAACGUCUCCUUCAAUCCCCUCUGUUUUCCUCUGCUCUCUGCCCUUUAUAACCACCUCCGCCUCCUCUCUUCUCUCCUCUUCACAGUUAGCGCUCUCUCUCUCUCUCUCCCCGCUCUCAUGGCGCGAGUCUCCGUCUUCGGAAUCCUCCUGCUCCUCCUCCUCCUUCUCGCUCCGCGGUCGACCGCUUCUCGGCCCCUGAUCAUGGCUUUGCCGGUCGACGGAGGACUGACGGUUCCGCCGGGGGCGGAGCGACUGGCCGAGAAGUACAAGCCGCUGCUGCUCAACUUUCUUCCCAGAGGGAGAAAGCCGCCGGCCGGGCCGGGCCCGGGAAUCGACGGCCACCGGAACUAGAAGAAGACGAAGAAUACGUAUAAUUGACCAAUCGAGAUGGCUGCAAAUUCGCGGUCGAGCUGGACAUUCAACCGUGCGAUUGCGAUUUCAUGGUCAGGCGUCUGCGGAGAGCUAGCCACCAAAUCAUGGCUAAGCCGUCGAGCAGUCCCUAACGGCGCUUCGAGUGGAGAUUUUUUUUUUCUUCUUUGGUUUGCUUCGACUGGAGGGGUAUCAAUUCGAAGUGGGGUAUCGAACUUCAAUUCUAAACUUUGAGCAAUUUACUAAACCAUGGACUUAAAAGUUCCAAGACCCUGGGCUAAAAGGGCAACCUCUCGGACUAAAGGCAUCUCUUUGGAAGGUUUUUAUAUAGGUUUGUAAGAUAAAAAAGUUAAAGGAAAAAAAUUAUAUAAGGUUUGAGAUUUGGAGUUGAA